CCUACGGGUGGCAGCAGUGGGGGAUAUUGCACAAUGGGGGAAACCCUGAUGCAGCGACGCCGCGUGGGUGAAGGAGCGUUUCGGCGCGUAAAGCCCUAUUAGCAGGGAAGAAGAUGACGGUACCUGACCAAGAAGCCCCGGCUAACUACGUGCCAGCAGCCGCGGUAAUACGUAGGGGGCAAGCGUUGUCCGGAUUUACUGGGUGUAAAGGGGGCGUAGACGGGAAGGCAAGACAGGAGUGAAAGCCCAGGGCCCAACCUUGGGACUGCUGUUGAAACUGCAUGGCUUGAGUGCAGGAGGGGCAAGCGGAAUUCCUAGUGUAGCGGUGAAAUGCGUAGAUAUUAGGAGGAACACCGGUGGCGAAGGCGGCUUGCUGGACUGUGACUGACGUUGAGGCUCGAAGGCGUGGGGAGCAAACAGGAUUAGAUACCCUAGUAGUC
rnacentral:rRNA from 1 species